GUGGAGUCUUGCUCUGUCAUCCAGGCUAGCAGUGGCGUGAUCUUGGCUCGCUGCAAUGUCUGCCUCCUGGGUUCAGAUGAUUCUCCUGCCUCAGCCUCCUGAGUAGCUGGGACUGCAGGCGCCCGCCACCAUGCCCUGCUGUUUUGUAUUUUUGAGAAAUGGAAUAAUCGUAUCGCUGAUCUAUGUAAACAAAUUGAAGAAUUGUCUGAAAGAAAAUAUGGUAUGUCUAAACUGGAAAAGUCCUGUAAUCUUAUGUUCAUGGGCGUUUACACAAUGGAGUUACUGUUCAUCAUGGGGGUACCGUGGACAAGCCCAGGGCUGCCGGCGAGUCAUGCCAUCCUUACACGUUUCUCCUUGUAAGACAUGAACUUAUGAAUUCAACAGGUGAAGAUUUACAACUUGAUAAAUCAGCUUUGUGAGAGCCACCUAAGCUGAAGAUUCCCUUGAGAACAAGUACUGUCCUGCGGUUUCAUGGCCCUUCUUCCAUUUGUGGUUCUUGCGAAGUGGAAUUUAAAUGACAUCUUAUCAAGAUGGAUAAACCCUAGUUUCCCAGUGCUGGAAUAUAGAAAAUGGAUGGACAAGUAAAUCCCACUCAGCACCCAUAGUCCAGGCAUGGGGACCUCAACACACCUGAGCCCCAGACAUCACCUUUCAUUCUGGACCUACCAUGAAAGACUUCUGAAUCCAGGAAGAGAAACUGACUGGGCAACAUGUUAUUCAGAAACAGGACCUUGCCCUGUCACUCAGGAUGGAGUUCAGUGGUCCUAUCAUGGCUCAUUAUAGCCUCAAACUCCCAGGCUCAAGCAAUCCUACCAUGUCAGCCUUCCCAGUAGCUGGGACUACAGGCUGGAGUACAGUGGCACAACCUCUGCUCACUGCAGCCUCCACCUGCCAGGCUCAAGCAAUUCUCCUGCCUCAGCCUCCCGAGUAGCUGGGAUUACAGGAAGUGACCGCACAAUGACUCAAGCUACCACAUACUGUUGAUUGUGAAAUGCCAGUUGAAGCAUAUGUCCUGCGAGCUUAGGGGUGCUACAAGUUGACCACUGCAGCAGUAAAGAUGACUCUGAAGAAUGGCGUGGGAUGGAUCCUUUCGAAUGCAUUUGAGCAGCGGUCUCCAACCACAGGGCCACAGAGCUGGAGCUGGAUCUACCAUGAAAGACUUCUGAAUCCAGGAAGAGAGACUGACUGGGCAACAUGUUAUUCAGGGUCUCCCUCUGUUGUCCAAGGCUGGAGUGUAGUAGUGCUAUCACAGCUGACUGCAGCCUCAACCUUCCAGGCUGAAGCGAUCCUCCCAUCUCAACCUCCCACGUGGCUGAGACUACAGGUGCUUGCCACUAUGCCCAACUAAUAUUUGGAAUUUUUGUAUACGUGGAUUCCAGAGGGGUGACAGCGAAACGUGGGACCAUCCAGUUGCAGGAAAACAAGCUUAACACGCCCACUGAUUCUACAUUAUG
rnacentral:lncRNA from 1 species